UGACCUCGGAUCAGGUAGGGAUACCCGCUGAACUU
rnacentral:rRNA from 10 species